UAGCUACUCCCUCCGUUCCAAAUUACUUGUCGCAGAAAUGGAUGUAUCUAGAACUAAAAUACAUCUAGAUACAUCCAUUUCUGCGACGAGUAAUUCGGAACGGAGGGAGUAGUUG
rnacentral:pre_miRNA from 1 species